rnacentral:rRNA from 1 species
UACAGAGGUCUCAAGCGUUGUUCGGAUUCAUUGGGCGUAAAGGGUGCGUAGGCGGCGCGGUAAGUCGGGUGUGAAAUCUUGGAGCUUAACUCCGAAACUGCAUUCGAUACUGCCGUGCUUGAGGACUGGAGAGGAGACUGGAAUUUACGGUGUAGCGGUGAAAUGCGCAGAUAUCAGGAGGAACACCGGUGGCGAAGGCGGGUCUCUGGGCCGAUACUGACGCUGAGGAGCGAAAAGCGUGGGGGAGCGAACAGG